rnacentral:rRNA from 1 species
UACGGGAGGCAGCAGUGGGGAAUAUUGCACAAUGGGCGCAAGCCUGAUGCAGCCAUGCCGCGUGUAUGAAGAAGGCCUUCGGGUUGUAAAGUACUUUCAGUCGUGAGGAAGGUGUUAAGGUUAAUAACCUUAGCAAUUGACGUUAGCGACAGAAGAAGCACCGGCUAACUCCGUGCCAGCAGCCGCGGUAAUACGGAGGGUGCGAGCGUUAAUCGGAAUUACUGGGCGUAAAGGGCACGCAGGCGGUUAAUUAAGUUGGAUGUGAAAUCCCCGGGCUUAACCUGGGAAUGGCAUUCAAGACUGGUUAGCUAGAGUCUUGUAGAGGGGGUAGAAAUUCCAUGUGUAGCGGUGAAAUGCGUAGAGAUGUGGAGGAAUACCGGUGGCGAAGGCGGCCCCUGGACAAAGACUGACGCUCAUGUGCGAAAGCGUGGGGAGCAAACAGGGAUUAGAUACC